CCUACGGGUGGCUGCAGUGAGGAAUAUUGGUCAAUGGACGAGAGUCUGAACCAGCCAAGUAGCGUGAAGGAUGACUGCCCUAUGGGUUGUAAACUUCUUUUAUAUGGGAAUAAAACGUUCCACGUGUGGGAUUUUGUAUGUACCAUAUGAAUAAGGAUCGGCUCACUCCGUGCCAGCAGCCGCGGUAAUACGGAGGAUCCGAGCGUUAUCCGGAUUUAUUGGGUUUAAAGGGAGCGUAGGUGGAUUGUUAAGUCAGUUGUGAAAGUUUGCGGCUCAACCGUAAAAUUGCAGUUGAAACUGGCAGUCUUGAGUACAGUAGAGGUGGGCGGAAUUCGUGGUGUAGCGGUGAAAUGCUUAGAGAUCACGAAGAACUCCGAUUGCGAAGGCAGUUCACUGGACUGCAACUGACACUGAGGCUCGAAAGUGUGGGUAUCAAACAGGAUUAGAUACCCUGGUAGUC
rnacentral:rRNA from 1 species